rnacentral:tRNA from 1 species
AGGGGUGUCGCCAAGCGGUAAGGCAUCAGACUUUGACUCUGACAUUCGUAGGUUCAAAUCCUGCCACCCCUGCCA